UACGUAGGGUGCAAGCGUUGUCCGGAAUUAUUGGGCGUAAAGAGCUCGUAGGCGGUCUGUCGCGUCUGCUGUGAAAACCUGGGGCUUAACCCUCGGCGUGCGGGCGAUACGGGCAGACUUGAGUACUGCAGGGGAGACUGGAAUUCCUGGUGUAGCGGUGGAAUGCGCAGAUAUCAGGAGGAACACCGGUGGCGAAGGCGGGUCUCUGGGCAGUAACUGACGCUGAGGAGCGAAAGCGUGGGGAGCGAACAGG
rnacentral:rRNA from 1 species